CAGCAGUCCCCAAUGGCCUCCUCCACCAUGGCCCUCUCCUCGCCAUCUCUCGCCGGGAAGGCCCUCAAGCUCGCCCCCGAGCUUGUCGGGGAGGGCCGGGUCACCAUGCGCGGAAAGACUGUCGGAAAACCCAAGCCCGUCUCCUCCGGCAGCCCAUGGUACGGCCCCGACCGCGUCAAGUACCUCGGCCCCUUCUCCGGCGAGGCCCCCUCCUACCUCACCGGCGAGUUCCCUGGCGACUACGGCUGGGACACCGCCGGCCUCUCCGCCGACCCCGAGACCUUUGCCAAGAACCGGGAGCUCGAGGUGAUCCACUCCCGCUGGGCCAUGCUCGGCGCCCUCGGCUGCGUCUUCCCCGAGCUGCUUGCCCGCAAUGGCGUCAAGUUUGGCGAGGCCGUCUGGUUCAAGGCUGGCGCCCAGAUCUUCAGCGAGGGCGGCCUCGACUAUCUGGGCAAUCCCAGCCUCGUCCACGCACAGAGCAUCCUGGCCAUCUGGGCCACCCAGGUCUUGCUGAUGGGUGCUGUAGAGGGAUACCGUGUCGCCGGUGGCCCCCUCGGUGAGGUGGUCGACCCCCUCUACCCUGGCGGCAGCUUCGACCCUCUGGGCCUCGCUGAUGAUCCCGAGGCCUUUGCCGAGCUCAAGGUUAAGGAGCUCAAGAACGGCAGGCUGGCCAUGUUCUCCAUGUUUGGGUUCUUCGUUCAGGCCAUCGUCACCGGCAAAGGUCCCUUGGAGAA
rnacentral:misc_RNA from 1 species